AAAAGGAACUGAAGAGAGUGGGAUUCGAACCCACGCCCCCGAAGGGACUGGUGCCUUAAACCAGCGCCUUAGACCGCUCGGCCAUCUCUCCA
rnacentral:tRNA from 1 species